UGUUGAAAAAGGCAAACUUAUUGAAAAAUAAGGACGCAAAACUAUAGGGGCUUCUAUCGUUAGAUAUGCCAGCCAGUUGCCAGG
rnacentral:ncRNA from 1 species